UUCUGGCAUCGAUGAAGAACGCAGCGAAAUGCGAUAAGUAGUGUGAAUUGCAGAAUUCAGUGAAUCAUCGAAUCUUUGAACGCACAUUGCGCCCCUUGGUAUUCCAUGGGGCAUGCCUGUUCGAGCGUCAUUUGUACCUUCAAGCUUUGCUUGGUUUU
rnacentral:rRNA from 1 species